rnacentral:rRNA from 1 species
ACUCCUACGGGAGGCAGCCGCAAGGAAUAUUGCACAAUGGGGGAAACCCUGAUGCAGCAACGCCGCGUGGGCGACGAAGGCCUUCGGGUUGUAAAGCCCUUUUCUUAGGGAAGAGCAAGGACGGUACCUGAGGAAUAAGUCUCGGCUAACUACGUGCCAGCAGCCGCGGUAAAACGUAGGAGACGAGCGUUAUCCGGAUUUACUGGGCGUAAAGGGCAAGUAGGCGGUUAUCAAAGUUGGACGUGACAAAUCUCGGCUCAACUGAGAAGGGUCGUCCAAAACUAGGUAACUAGAGGGCAGGAGAGGGGAGCGGAAUUCCUAGUGUAGCGGUGGAAUGCUUAGAGAUUAGGAAGAACACCAGUGGCGAAGGCGGCUCUCUGGCCUGCACCUGACGCUGAGAGGCGAAAGCUAGGGGAGCAAACGGGCUUAGAUACCCCGGUAGUCCUAGCUGUAAACGUUGGAUACUGGGUAUUGGGGGCAUAGAAUCCUUCAGUGCCGAAGCAAACGCGUUAA